rnacentral:lncRNA from 1 species
GAACUGAUCAUCUACUUUUCUUUUAACUGUCCGAAACCCCCUCCCUAACCCUAGAAACCCCCUCACUCUUUAUCUCUCUCACUCUCUGCCUCGCCGCCCCCAGAAUCGUGCAACAACGGCGGUCAACCUCCAAACUCCCCCAAAUUAUCACCUUAUAGCCUCCAACAUCGCUUUAAUCCAAAUCCACCAUCAAUUCUCCCAAAAGCGCCACCAAAUUCAAUAAAUUUUUUAUCUGAAGUCUCAGGAAUCCUUUCUUCCGUUGCUUGAUCGAUUCGUCUAGUUCACACUCAAAACUUACAUCAAUGGAAUGCUUUUAACAAGAGCUAUCAAUUGAUGUAAGGUUUAGUCCGAUUAUUGAUGGCCGAGUUUUGGUCAACUGGUUGUUGACCGGCCAGAGUCUUCCGGAAAUCUUUUAUAUCGCUUCCUUUGAGCUUAAUUAGGUAAUCCCCACUCCUUGACUUUUUGAUUAAUAAUUCCUCUUCUUUUACACUGAACUUUUUAGUUGUUCUUUCAUAUGUUUAUCAUGUUAGGACUUAAUCACCAUUAACUCUGUAUUUGCAUGAUUUAGAGUAGUGUUUAAUUGUAAGUUUAAAUUAGUUCAUUAGUAUUUUUUUUAAGUUCAACUGAUUUUUGUUUGGAAUGUUUUCGUUUGGUUAUGUUACUGCUACUUCCGUUUGAGUUGGUAUUGCUUUUGUUUGGUUGGGGUCUGUCUUGUUUGACAGGCAGACCCAUUAGGUUGAAGUUCAGUAGAUGAGUUUAGGUAUGGGCCCGGUGGUCAAAUGGCCCAAGUCUUUAAGUAUUGGUAAGGUAAAAGAAGAGAUAAUAUUAAAGUGGUAAAAUACAAAAAAUAAGAGGUUAGUUUAGGAAAUUAACAUGUAGAAUCUUUUCUGAUUAACAACAUAAAUAUUCUAGAAGAGAGUAGUAGGGACUAAAAUGCAAUAAGACAAAGAAAAUUAGGUCAAAUUUGGGGCUUCUGAGAAAAUACAGAAAGAUAAGGGAUUAAAAAGAAAAAAUAUAUAUAUGAAUGAAACAAUUGUACCAAAAUCUGUUAUUAGAAAGUUGCCUUUCCCCUAUUUUUAGGGCUGACACAAUUUUGGAUUCUCUCAAAAACUCACUCUCACUCUGCAUUUUCACACACACACAUACACCACAAUACUAAUUUUCAUCUACAUUCAUCCUCACUAAUUCUCUCACAGAAAACACUUUGAAAUUCGAAAUUAGAUCUAGAAAAAUCAAAGGAAAAAAGAUUUUGAAUUUAUUUGCACUGU